CAAUGAAGCCCCGCCCUCAGGAGUGCUGGAACUUUCGGCGGCGCCGCUUUUAUCCGCUAUUUUGAGGCAGCGGGACAUCGGUAACACUCCGCCGGAUAAGAGGUACAAGAUACAAUGUGUUGAACCAGUGUUAAGUAUUGACUACCGGUAACCAGAUCUUGGAAUUAACCAGUCCCAAGCAGUUUGGAAUUGAUUGGAGACUCUGGUCCUCAUCCUAUUUCCUGGCUACGGCAUUGGUAACGAUGUGUACCAUGACUUAUGGCUGAUCUCCCUCCACCUUAAUACUCAAUCCGAGGCAACCCUGACCCUGGCACCUGUGAGGCAACGCACCAUCCGGGAGUCUCGCUCGUUGCACCAUGGAAAGCAUUCUAUCCAGGCGCAUAACAGCCUGGUAUGGCCCCUGCUCUGCCCAGGACUCCCACGAAACUAGAGACAAUUGUGUGCACAGCCCAGACCGUCACAGAAGCCAACCGCCCAUUCACAGCCUCCAUUUACACUGAUUGUUGCCUCAAAAAGGUCACCAACAUCAAAGAUACCGCACCUGACACCAACCCACAUAGUGUUCUGUUCCGUCCUUUUCUGUCAGGCUGAAGAUACAGAAACUUGAAUACGCACACCAAUAGGUUCAAGAAUAGCUUCUUCCUGCUGUUGUUAAACUGUACCUCUCUAAUUUCAAAUAACGUUGAUCUUGCUUUGCGCACUCUCUGUGCAGCUGUAACCCCAUACGCCUCGCUCUGACUGAGUAUCCCAUGUUCUAUUAUGUUCUGGUUUGCUAUGAUGUGCUUUUACUGCUUGCAAAACAAAGCUUUUCAAUGUAUUUAGGUACAUGUGACCACAAUAAAUCAAAUCUUCCAACUCGCUAGAUUCAUAAAUUUAUGAAACGUUAAAACAGAUUUCCAACAAAUGGUAUUUCACGGCAAACAGUACACCAACAAUCUAGAUGUCCUUUAUAUGUUGCAAAUAACCUUCCACUCCUUAUAAUUUAAGUUCAUCUUUACUGCUUUAUAUAUACUGCUAUACUGCUUAUCUUUAUUGACAUAAU